UGUAUGCCUGUGAUGGCUAUAAAUAUACUUUGAGUUAAUUUUAUAUUACUCUGAAAAAAACUUAGUCUGAGGCAUAUG
rfam:Daucus carota subsp. sativus cultivar DH1 chromosome 6, whole genome shotgun sequence.